AGAGUUUGAUCAUGGCUCAGAACGAACGCUGGCGGCGUGGAUAAGACAUGCAAGUUGAACGCGAUAUUCCGGGUAGCAAUAUUCGGAGUGUUGAGUAGCGCAAGGGUGCGUAACACGUGGGAAUCUGCCCUGAAGUUGGGGAUAACUCGCUGAAAGGCGAGCUAAUACCGAAUGUGACCGCAAGGUCAAAGCUGGGGAUCCGUAAGGACCUGGCGCUUCUGGAUGAGCCCGCGGCCUAUCAGCUCGUUGGCGGGGUAAAAGCCCACCAAGGCGAAGACGGGUAGCUGGUCUGAGAGGACGACCAGCCACACUGGAACUGAGACACGGUCCAGACACCUACGGGUGGCAGCAGUCGAGAAUUUUUCUCAACGGGCGCAAGCCUGAAGGAGCGACGCCGCGUGGGGGAUGAAGGGUUUCGAUCCGUAAACCCCUGUCAUUUGUGAACAAUGGUUAUCGUUUAAGAGAUGAUGACUUGACAGUAAUGAAAGAGGAAGGGACGGCUAACUCUGUGCCAGCAGCCGCGGUAAUACAGAGGUCCCGAGCGUUGUUCGGAUUCACUGGGCGUAAAGGGUGCGUAGGUGGCUACUGAAAGUUUGAUGUGAAAUCUCCGGGCUCAACCCGGAAAAGGCAUUGAAUACUGCGGAGCUGGAGGUUUGGAGGGGGGACUGGAAUUCUCGGUGUAGCAGUGAAAUGCGUAGAUAUCGAGAGGAACACCAGUGGCGAAGGCGAGUCCCUGGACAACACCUGACACUGAGGCACGAAAGCCGGGGGAGCAAACAGGAUUAGAUACCCUAGUAGUCC
rnacentral:rRNA from 1 species